CAAGUCGAGCGCAGGAAGCCGUCUGAACCCUUCGGGGGGACGACGGUGGAAUGAGCGGCGGACGGGUGAGUAACACGUAAAGAACCUGCCCAUAGGUCUGGGAUAACCACGAGAAAUCGGGGCUAAUACCGGAUGUGUCAUCGGACCGCAUGGUCCGCUGAUGAAAGGCGCUCCGGCGUCGCCCAUGGAUGGCUUUGCGGUGCAUUAGCUAGUUGGUGGGGUAACGGCCCACCAAGGCGACGAUGCAUAGCCGACCUGAGAGGGUGAUCGGCCACACUGGGACUGAGACACGGCCCAGACUCCUACGGGAGGCAGCAGUAGGGAAUCUUCCACAAUGGACGAAAGUCUGAUGGAGCAACGCCGCGUGAACGAUGAAGGCUUUCGGGUCGUAAAGUUCUGUUGUAAGGGAAGAACAAGUGCCGCAGGCAAUGGCGGCACCUUGACGGUACCUUGCGAGAAAGCCACGGCUAACUACGUGCCAGCAG
rnacentral:rRNA from 1 species